GAUGAACGCUGGCGGCGUGCCUAACACAUGCAAGUCGAGCGAGGGUUUGCUCAGUAUUGAGUAUUCUAAGAUUAGAAUGUUCAAUUCUGAGCAAAACCAAGCGGCGUACGGGUGAGUAACGCGUGGGUAACCUGCCCUAUACACAUGGAUAACAUACUGAAAAGUUUACUAAUACAUGAUAAUAUAUAUUUGCGGCAUCGCAGAUAUAUCAAAGUGUUAGCGGUAUAGGAUGGACCCGCGUCUGAUUAGCUAGUUGGUGAGAUAACUGCCCACCAAGGCGACGAUCAGUAGCCGACCUGAGAGGGUGAUCGGCCACAUUGGAACUGAGACACGGUCCAAACUCCUACGGGAGGCAGCAGUGGGGAAUAUUGCACAAUGGGCGAAAGCCUGAUGCAGCAACGCCGCGUGAACGAUGAAGGUCUUCGGAUCGUAAAGUUCUGUUGCAGGGGAAGAUAAUGACGGUACCCUGUGAGGAAGCCCCGGCUAACUACGUGCCAGCAGCCGCGGUAAUACGUAGGGGGCUAGCGUUAUCCGGAUUUACUGGGCGUAAAGGGUGCGUAGGUGGUCCUUCAAGUCGGUGGUUAAAGGCUACGGCUCAACCGUAGUAAGCCGCCGAAACUGGAGGACUUGAGUGCAGGAGAGGAAAGUGGAAUUCCCAGUGUAGCGGUGAAAUGCGUAGAUAUUGGGAGGACACCAGUAGCGAAGGCGGCUUUCUGGACUGCAACUGACACUGAGGCACGAAAGCGUGGGGUAUCAAACAGG
rnacentral:rRNA from 1 species